GACGAACGCUGGCGGCGUGCUUAACACAUGCAAGUCGAACGGAAAGGCCCUGCUUUUGUGGGGUGCUCGAGUGGCGAACGGGUGAGUAACACGUGAGUAACCUGCCCUUGACUUUGGGAUAACUUCAGGAAACUGGGGCUAAUACCGGAUAGGAGCUCCUGCUGCAUGGUGGGGGUUGGAAAGUUUCGGCGGUUGGGGAUGGACUCGCGGCUUAUCAGCUUGUUGGUGGGGUAGUGGCUUACCAAGGCUUUGACGGGUAGCCGGCCUGAGAGGGUGACCGGCCACAUUGGGACUGAGAUACGGCCCAGACUCCUACGGGAGGCAGCAGUGGGGAAUAUUGACCAAUGGGCGGAAGCCUGAUGCAGCAACGCCGCGUGCGGGAUGACGGCCUUCGGGUUGUAAACCGCUUUCGCCUGUGACGAAGCGUGAGUGACGGUAAUGGGUAAAGAAGCACCGGCUAACUACGUG
rnacentral:rRNA from 1 species